CAGCGUUUUCCUUCGACGAGCUCCCCCAACUGUUUCUUUCUUUACCUCUCACACCCGCAGACUUCACAGUUCACAGCGUUUUCCUUCAUCGCGCCAUCGCCAAAUCCAGCUCCCCAUCACGCUGCUUCCUCAUUUGCGUUUAUCUACUUCCCCGUCGCGCCAUCGCUAGCUCCCCGUCACUCUAUUUCAUUAAUCGCCAGCUUCCUCAUCUUCUAUGUAGAUCAGCUCAGAUUGAAGUCCGUCACUUGCUCGUGCUGCCUUCUCUGAACAGGAAUAGAAUAAAGUGGGCGCAAGCAAGAAAUAAGAAGAAACGCACUUUUUUGGGGACGAGGGUCCUUCUUCCUUCUUUUUGAUCCAUUCGUGUCAUAUGAUGCUAAGGCCAUUAAAAUUAAUGGGCAGAGAAGGAUCCUCAUUUCUGGGUCCAUUCACUACCCCAGAAACACUCCUGAGGAUGAGAUGUGGCCAGAUCUCAUUCGAAAGGCAAAAGAAGGAGGUUUGGAUGUCAUUCAGACUUAUGUUUUCCGGAAUGGCCACGAGCCAUCACUUGGCAAACAGAAUUAGUCCAUCAUUUUUCUUUUCAUUAUUUAGGCUACUUAUAAAAGUAAAAAAAGGUUUAAUUCUGAUUAAAUUUGCUUUAUUUUGCUUCAACACAACUUUGAGGGAAACUAUGAUCUCGUGAAAUUUGUCAAGCUCGUGCAACAAGUAGGCCUCUACGUCCAUCUCAGAGUCGGGCCUUAUGUCUGCACUGAGUGGAAUUUCGGGUAAUGUAGAUGAUUUAUCCUAGUCCUAGAAAUAGAAGAAAGUUUCUAUUUUCAUGUGAGGUUUUUGUCAAGUCUUUUCUAAACUUGUCUCUGCUUCCAGUGGGUUCCCUGUUUGGCUGAAAUAAGUUUGUGGUAUUAGUUUCAGAACAGAUAAUGGACCAUUCAAGUAUUACAUGCAAAAGUUCACAACAAAGAUUGUCAACAUGAUGAAAGCAGAACGGCUGUUUGAGUCGCAGGGCGGACCAAUAAUCUUGUCCCAGGUUCAUGAUUCACUGUUCCAAUGACAUUGCUUGUUAAUCAUUGGAUGAAAAAAUUUACUUAUGUUAAGUGAUAGUCAAUGUUAGCGGGACCCAUGACAUUGCUUCCUAUUGGAAUUUGACUGUCGCUUCCUUUGGCCUUGCGCUCUCAAAAGUCUGUAGAUUUUUGCACUACUUUGUUGAAUUAACAUUGCUUUCCUCUGCAUAAAAUGUUGUCCUCACUUGGAAUAAACCUCUUAUUGAAUAGAUCAUUGCACAGGUCCACCCUGAAUAAUAACCUACAUUUUUUAUGAUAGAAAAGAAUGAAAUUACCUUUGGCAAUUAGCCUAUCAAUCCGUCUAUAUACUUUUA